CACCUCAACAUCCUCAUCUUUGCUACUUUCAUCUUCUGUGUGUGUGAGUUCUUAACCGACCAACACUCGGUCCCAUACAGCAUUGCAGGCCUAACCACUGCUCUAUAAAACUUACCUUUUAGUAACGCUGGAACUUUCUUGUCACACAAGACUCCCGUCGCUAACCUCCACUUCUUCCAACCCACCCCUAUACGGUGUGUGACAUCCUCGUUGAUUUCCC
rnacentral:lncRNA from 1 species